GAAAACGAGAGAGAGAGAGAGAGAGAAAGAUUAAAUUGCAAAACAAAUAUUUAAUGAGUGCCUCCACCUGAUGUUAACACACCUUGGCAGUGCGAGUUACCAACAUUGUGCUGCUUCUGCUUCUGCCAACGUUGCCGUUGCCGUCGCUGCCCCGCGUAACACACGUAUGCCACGCCGGUUUUUUUUCUCUCCCAUCUUUUCGAGUGUCGUGUUCUUUUUUUUAUAUACCUGAGUAUAUUUAUUUUUUUUGCUGUUUUUGUUUGUUGUUCACCUACUGUUUUUGUUGGUCUCUCUCUCUCUCCCACUUGCUAUUUUUGUUUUGUGUACUGUGAAAAAGUAGUAGCGCUGGAGAAUUGAGAAUUGCAUUCACUGCCGCUCUCAAGCCGCACAGCCCAACAGUGCCAAUUACAUAAGUCGAUCUUCGCGAGAGAGAAACUGCCGCUUUUAAGAGUGUUUCCCCUGAGAGAAUUUCUCGUUAUCAACGCAAAAGAAAAGUGAAGCAGAGAAAAGCUUAGAAAAGAAAUGUCCCAAGUUUAUAAAUCAUGGUCUUUUCACAUGUUCACACAAAUACAUACAUAUGUUACAACAAAUUGAUAUAAUAACACAUCGAAGAAAACUUUGAUAUUCUCUAUACUCUCUGUAUCAAUAAAAAGUUGUUGUUUCACCUUUUUCAUGAAUUUCAUAAAGAAGAAAAACUUGUUGUAUGAAGUGCAGAUUUUCUAACACAAAAAUAUUCUUCAAAGUGUCCAAAAACACUUCCUAUGCUCUUUACAACGACUUUAGUAAAUAGAGCUCUUGUUUUGUUAAUAAAUGUAUUAGAAUUCCCAUCACACAUUUCUCGUGUGUGUGUGUGUGCCUCUCUAUAUUUGGUUUUGCUUUUAGCAUUUCUCUCGAAGGUUUUCCCAGGCUUUUCCUGAGGCCAAUGGCCCUACCUUAUCGCCGGUGCGUGACGGCAAGAGAGCCACAUGAAAAACCUUUUGCCCAAGAACUACUCUUUCAUAACGAAAUCGAUCCACAGAUGAGUCAGUGUCAGGGGGAAUAAAACAAACAUACAUAAAUUUCUUUACUUUGGUUACUGAUCUGAAGAAAAGUUUUGGCAAAAAAGUCUGUGCGGUUCACUAAGAGAUACAAAAACGCGUAACAGCAGCAAAAAUUAUAAAUGCACAUAAAUUCCCCCAGACAAUUUUCCACUUUGGCCCAAGGAAUGAAAACCGAAUGAAUAAUGGGACUCCCUCCUCACCUCUCCUCACAUGCGCCAUCGAGCACACGUAUUUCCCCUCAGUAAAUUUACCCCCCUAAAAACCCUAUCCUGCCUCUGAUCAAACGAAUAUUUAGAAUGUUUUACUUUCUGGCUCUGA